UCUGGACUUGCUUAGCAGGAUAGUAUCAAUUGGCUUAGAACCAAAUUACUAGCUUCAUUCCUGAAACCUGGUUGGCAUACUAGAUGGACAUCACAGAACUGGGUGGGAAGCAGUAUAUUCUUAAAAAAAAAAAAAAAAAAAAAAAAGGCAGCUGUUGGAAAAUGGGAAAAGGCUUCAAGAGAGUCAACCAACUAUUGCCCACUGAUUGCAUUGGUUAUAUAGGCUGCUGAGAAAUUAUGAGAGAAUAAAGUAAUCUGGCAAGGGGGAGGUAAAAGAAGGGAAUUCAAAAAUAUUAAGUACUUCUAAUGUUUAAGAGUCAAUGCCAAGAGACUAUAAGGUUAUGGGGGAAAUCCUGCAAAACAUUUUGAUUUCUGUUUUCAGUAAUCAUGCACUCUCUGAUACAAAAUAAAUGAGUAAUGGGUUUAAAGAGAAAGGUGAUGAGGUCAGUUUUAAAUGCCUGGAGUAUCAGGUAUAUCUACUCAUAUAUUCAAGAUUUCUGGGAGGAGAUGGGAAAUGGGUAUACUACUGAGAUCAGUGAAAGUUUCUACAGGAUAUAUACAAUGCAACUAUGAAAAUGACCUGCCUUAGAAUACUAUGAAGAGUAUAUAAAGAAAAAAGACCUGCAGAUAGAGCACUGGUGACUAUCAAGAACUGAACAAGGAACAAAAGAGGACAUUAAAACUAUUUUAGGAGAGAAUGGAGACAUCAAAGCCAAGAGAGGGUAUGUUCUCAUAACAGCAAUGGCUAAUGCAAUUGAAAAAGUCAAAGAAGUUCAAGAAAGGAGUCCUGGAGUUCCCGUCGUGGCGCAGUGGUUAACGAAUCCGACUAGGAACCAUGAGGUUGCAGGUUCGAUCCCUGCCCUUGCUCAGUGGGUUAACGAUCNNNNNNNNNNNNNNNNNNNNNNNNNNNNNNNNNNNNNNNNNNNNNNNNNNNNNNNNNNNNNNNNNNNNNAAAAAAAAAAAAAAAAAAAAAAAAAAAAAAAAAAGAAAGGAGUCCUUUGGGCAAUAGCGUUGAUAAUACCAAUUGCAGGGGAGUGUUUUGUAGGAAAUCAUGCAACAAUGGGACUAAGGAAAGAAGGACAGGAAAGAAGUGGAAGACAUGUAAGAAAAAAAAAAAAAAAAACCUGUUGUUACAAAGCUUAACUGUAAAUGAAAACAGAGAAGUGGGUUUGACUGAUAAUGACAUUUUGACACUGAAAAAUUUAGAAGACUGGAGAGGUAACGAGCAGGAGGAAGAAGAGAGACAUGAGCAGGAACACAAAUGCACUUACAAACAGGAGACAACAAACAACUAUGUCCGAGUAGAAAGGGAAGAAUCAGAGUCUGGAAUUCUCAGAAGACUGAGUCAAGGCUUGCAGUAUCUGUGAUGCCAACAACUGUGUUUCUGCAGGUGAGUGUGGAUAUGAUGAGGUGUGGGUGUGACAUGGCACAACUAAGUCAUUCUCAGCACUCCCUACUGACACUAU
rnacentral:lncRNA from 1 species